UCAUGUAAAGAGAUUGUCAUCUCUAUAAAUUACAAAGUGAUAAAAUCGUCAAUUACAUAAAAAGGGUGAAAUAUGGUUGAACUUGUCAAAUUUGUUUAUGUUAUGAUUACCCUUCUUUCCAUAGUUGUUGUUGCAAAAAACUCUCAAGGUAAUAAAGAAAAUAUAUGUUUUAAAGAUGCUGAUUGUCCACAAGAUAUAUGCUCAUAUCCUUUUAAACCGAAGUGUAAUAUUUACGGCUAUUGUUCAUGUUAAACAUAUAUAUUUGCACUAGGUUAUAUGCUAAAAAGUUCCUAUAUUUAGUGAUUGCCGGCAAAGGCUACGGUAGGCAAUCUCAUUAGGUCUCCUACCGUAGGAGACUUGACAUUUUUUAUUUUUUUUUUAUUUGUAAAAUGGAUGUCAAUCAUCAGAUAUACUUGAAAACUUUUGAAGACCACAAUGUUAUUAUAUUUUCUCAACA